GGAAGAACAUGGCUGCUGGUCACGGCUUCUGGACUACAGCUCUGGAGACUGGGAUGAAGUGGCGAGUACGAGUCCUUAGUCCCACUCAGUGGCAGCUUUCCCUAUGAGGGUGGCCAGUGCGAGCUUUUGUUGUUGCCUGUGGUGGAGCCUGAAAAGUCCCACACAGCAUCUCGGCUGGGAGACAGACUUCUCAGAGGAAGAACAAUUACCAAGAUCACCCUUGAAAAUCCUGUAGCACCCACUGUACCUCAGACACCAACACAUACUACCAGGAGAUCUACUCAUCUUUGUGACAGAAGACUAAAAUGCUUCUGUGCAGUCACUAGCCAUAGAAAGGAUUGGGACAAACAAUUAAGACAAAAAGAUGGCAAAAUAGUGCUGAUGAUCUUUAAACUUUAAAACUAGACCUCUGCAAAGAAAUCAAGGUGAUUUGACAUCUACAGUGAAGACCUGAACCAGCCCUGAUGACCUCUAUUGCAGCUUUGACCAAGAACAGAACUAAAGACAGAAUAAGAGAGAACCACACACUUUGAGAAAUACCUACUUCAAAACCUAGUCCAGCUUGUGUAGGAAAAUUGAGGAGCAUUUGUUCUGGAACUGUGUGACUACUAAGGAAAGGUUGGUUUGAUUUUUGCUUCAGAAGGGCACUUGUGUUGUUUCAAAGGCAAAAGGAGAAUGAAGUUUAACUAUAGGAUUUUGUUGGCUGGAGCGAAUCCACCAUAAAUCGACUGACUGACAAAAUGUAAGAGCCAACGAUUGAUUUGCUUUCAGAAGAAUGUUCACUGUAGUGAUCUGUCAUUGAUCAAUUAAACAUGCAAAUUAGUUAUGGUAUUGCUUGUCAUGGUUAAAUAACUGCCAUUAAUUGAAAC